rnacentral:ribozyme from 2 species
UCAAAAAUUUCGACAUUGGCAGUUCUAGGGUUAAUGUCGGUCCCAAGCCCGAAUAAAGGAAGAGGGCUGA